AUGGGGGUGAUGCCAGGAUUUGGUUUGAAUUGGGUUGGGCCCUCAUCUCAACCCUGUAACAUCCCUGACUAUCCUCUAUGUUGUAGAGAGGAUCAACCCUGUAACAUCCCUGACUAUCCUCUAUGUUGUAGAGAGGAUCAACCCUGUAACAUCCCUGACUAUCCUCUAUGUUGUAGAGAGGAUCAACCCUGUAAAUCCCUGACUAUCCUCUAUGUUGUAGAGAGGAUCAACCCUGUAACAUCCCUGUCCAUCUUUAACCUACAGUCCUAUAGUAAAUACAGACUAUUCCUCCCCAUCUUUAACCUACAGUCCUAUAGUAAAUACAGACUAUUCCUGCCCAUCUCUAACCUACAGUCCUAUAGUAAAUACAGGCUAUUCCUGCCCAUCUCUAACCUACAGUCCUAUAGUAAAUACAGACUAUUCCUGCCCAUCUCUAACCUACAGUCCUAUAGUAAAUACAGGCUAUUCCUGCCCAUCUCUAACCUACAGUCCUAUAGUAAAUACAGGCUAUUCCUGCCCAUCUUUAACCUACAGUCCUAUAGUAAAUACAGACUAUUCCUGCCCAUCUCUAACCUACAGUCCUAUAGUAAAUACAGGCUAUUCCUGCCCAUCUCUAACCUACAGUCCUAUAGUAAAUACAGACUAUUCCUGUCCAUCUUUAACCUACAGUCCUAUAGUAAAUACAGGCUAUUCCUGUCCAUCUCUAACCUACAGUCCUAUAGUAAAUAUAUUAAUACAUACUUUAACCUACAGUCCUAUAGUAAAUACAGACUAUUCCUGCCCAUCUUUAACCUACAGUCCUAUAGUAAAUACAGACUAUUCCUGCCCAUCUUUAACCUACAGUCCUAUAGUAAAUACAGACUAUUCCUGUCCAUCUCUAACCUACAGUCCUAUAGUAAAUACAGGCUAUUCCUGUCCAUCUCUAACCUACAGUCCUAUAGUAAAUACAGGCUAUUCCUGCCCAUCUCUAACCUACAGUCCUAUAGUAAAUACAGGCUAUUCCUGUCCAUCUUUAACCUACAGUCCUAUAGUAAAUACAGGCUAUUCCUGCCCAUCUUUAACCUACAGUCCUAUAGUAAAUACAGACUAUUCCUGUCCAUCUUUAACCUACAGUCCUAUAGUAAAUACAGGCUAUUCCUGCCCAUCUCUAACCUACAGUCCUAUAGUAAAUACAGGCUAUUCCUGCCCAUCUCUAACCUACAGUCUUAUAGUAAAUACAGACUAUUCCUGCCCAUCUUUAACCUACAGUCCUAUAGUAAAUACAGGCUAUUCCUGCCCAUCUCUAACCUACAGUCCUAUAGUAAAUACAGACUAUUCCUGUCCAUCUUUAACCUACAGUCCUAUAGUAAAUACAGACUAUUCCUGCCCAUCUUUAACCUACAGUCCUAUAGUAAAUACAGGCUAUUCCUGCCCAUCUCUAACCUACAGUCCUAUAGUAAAUACAGACUAUUCCUGUCCAUCUUUAACCUACAGUCCUAUAGUAAAUACAGACUAUUCCUGCCCAUCUUUAACCUACAGUCCUAUAGUAAAUACAGACUAUUCCUCCCCAUCUUUAACCUACAGUCCUAUAGUAAAUACAGACUAUUCCUGCCCAUCUCUAACCUACAGUCCUAUAGUAAAUACAGGCUAUUCCUGCCCAUCUCUAACCUACAGUCCUAUAGUAAAUACAGACUAUUCCUGUCCAUCUUUAACCUACAGUCCUAUAGUAAAUACAGGCUAUUCCUGUCCAUCUCUAACCUACAGUCCUAUAGUAAAUAUAUUAAUACAUACUUUAACCUACAGUCCUAUAGUAAAUACAGACUAUUCCUGCCCAUCUUUAACCUACAGUCCUAUAGUAAAUACAGACUAUUCCUGCCCAUCUUUAACCUACAGUCCUAUAGUAAAUACAGACUAUUCCUGUCCAUCUCUAACCUACAGUCCUAUAGUAAAUACAGGCUAUUCCUGUCCAUCUCUAACCUACAGUCCUAUAGUAAAUACAGGCUAUUCCUGCCCAUCUUUAACCUACAGUCCUAUAGUAAAUACAGACUAUUCCUGUCCAUCUCUAACCUACAGUCCUAUAGUAAAUACAGGCUAUUCCUGUCCAUCUUUAACCUACAGUCCUAUAGUAAAUACAGGCUAUUCCUGCCCAUCUCUAACCUACAGUCCUAUAGUAAAUACAGGCUAUUCCUGUCCAUCUUUAACCUACAGUCCUAUAGUAAAUACAGGCUAUUCCUGCCCAUCUUUAACCUACAGUCCUAUAGUAAAUACAGACUAUUCCUGUCCAUCUUUAACCUACAGUCCUAUAGUAAAUACAGGCUAUUCCUGCCCAUCUCUAACCUACAGUCCUAUAGUAAAUACAGGCUAUUCCUGCCCAUCUCUAACCUACAGUCUUAUAGUAAAUACAGACUAUUCCUGCCCAUCUUUAACCUACAGUCCUAUAGUAAAUACAGGCUAUUCCUGCCCAUCUCUAACCUACAGUCCUAUAGUAAAUACAGACUAUUCCUGUCCAUCUUUAACCUACAGUCCUAUAGUAAAUACAGACUAUUCCUGCCCAUCUUUAACCUACAGUCCUAUAGUAAAUACAGACUAUUCCUGUCCAUCUUUAACCUACAGUCCUAUAGUAAAUACAGACUAUUCCUGCCCAUCUUUAACCUACAGUCCUAUAGUAAAUACAGACUAUUCCUGUCCAUCUUUAACAUGUGGCCCCUUGUCUUCUCCACAGGUUGUCAAGGCUCAAGACCAGAUAUCUGGAGAGAGUCAGAACCAACAGACAGACAGGGCAAUUCACAGCAGAGUUACCUGUCAAAACUGUCUUGA
rnacentral:lncRNA from 1 species